rnacentral:rRNA from 1 species
GUCCACGCUGUAAACGAUGGGUGCUAGCUGUGGUGGGUAUUGACCCCUGCCGUGGCGACGCUAACGCAAUAAGCACCCCGCCUGGGGAGUACGGUCGCAAGAUUAAAACUCAAAGGAAUUGACGGGGGCCCCGCACAAGCGGUGGAGCAUGUGGUUUAAUUCGACGCAACGCGCAGAACCUUACCCAGACUUGACAUCCACGGAAACCUGCAGAAAUGUGGGAGUGCCCGCAAGGGAGCCGUGAGACAGGUGCUGCAUGGCUGUCGU